UACGUAGGGGGCGAGCGUUGUCCGGAAUCAUUGGGCGUAAAGCGCGUGUAGGCGGCCCGGUAAGUCCGCUGUGAAAGUCCAGGGCUCAACCCUGGGAUGCCGGUGGAUACUGUCGGGCUCGAGUCCGGAAGAGGCGAGUGGAAUUCCUGGUGUAGCGGUGAAAUGCGCAGAUAUCAGGAGGAACACCGGUGGCGAAGGCGGGACUCUGGGCCGAUACUGACGCUGAGGAGCGAAAGCGUGGGGAGCAAACAGG
rnacentral:rRNA from 1 species